ACCCUAUAGGCUUUGCACGUGCGGCUGCUGUGUCACAUGAGCGUCAGUAGGUGGUAGAGACGAGAGAGGCUGUGUCUACGCUCAGUGUUCUGACCAUGAACAUCUGAAUGAUUACUAUCCUAACAUU